UUAAAGUCUAAUCUGCCCUAUGAGGGUUUAAAUGGCCGCGGUACUUUGACCGUGCAAAGGUAGCAUAAUAAUUAGUUUUUUAAUUGAAAGCUGGAAUGAAUGAUUGGACGAGAAAAUAACUGUCUCAAUUUAAUUUUUUUAAAAUUUUAUUUUUAAGUAAGAAAGCUUAAAUAUUAUUAAAAGACGAGAAGACCCUAUAGAGUUUUAUAAUUAGUUUGAUAUUAAUUUUUGAGAAUUAUUUUAUUAAUAUUGAGUUAAUUAUUUUGUUGGGGCGAUAGAGAAAUAUUAUUAACUUUUUUUAUUAUUAGUUCAUUAAUUUAUGAAUAAAUGAUCCAUUUUUUAUGAUUAUAAGAAUAAGUUACCUUAGGGAUAACAGCGUUAUUUUUUUUUAGAGUUCUUAUCGAAAAAAAAGAUUGCGACCUCGAUGUUGGAUUAAAAUAUAUGUUUGGUGUAGAAGCUAAAUAAUUAGGUCUGUUCGACCUUUAAAAUUUUACA
rnacentral:rRNA from 1 species